ensembl:lncRNA
UGUAGAUGUAGUGAUUUCCCCUACAAUGACAUUCUUUUGACCUGGCACCCAACAACUACGUAGUGUAGAUGUAGUGAUUGUAUAAGUUAGUGAACUGUUAUAAGCUGUUGUAACCAAUGUAGAUGUAUUGAUUAUAUAAGUUAGUGAACUGUUAUAAGCUGUUGUAACCAAUGAAACAAAAGGAGCAAGUAGGAGAAUAGGAAACCCUGUUUAAGCAGUUGCCGGGGAGAGAAAGAUUUAGUAUGUCUGUUUUGUGAGAAACAGGUCACAGGUCAGAGACACACACACAUAGUCGGACAGACAAGACAGAAACCAGAAAGGGGGGCAAGGGGAUACUUGCAGUUAUCCUAUAAGGAAUAAAACUGGGAUUGGGCCAAUGGCACACACUUUGUAAGUUAACGCCUCUAUCUUUUUGGGCGUAGUAGAAGUAUAAAAAUGAUGUUUUGACUGUUGAUCCUUAGACAUUGUGCGGCGACACGUGUCUCCAGAAGCUUCUGUAAUAAAUGGACGUAUAACUACGGUAAUUGCCCUGACUCCCUGUGUUUUAUUCUCCUUUCCAACAAACCAACUCGGGGAAGUGUUAGACUUCAACAAUUUGGGGGCUCGUCCGGGAUUGGAAAGAGGAGAAGGAAUUCGAUCUUGUCCAGACAACCUACGCGAGAUUCACAGGUUCCGAGCCGGCUCAUGAUAAAGGUAAGCAGAGCCUGUUAUAUCUAAAUCUGCAUAUUGGCUAUGAACUAAAUUUUGAACCUGUGGAAAACGUAUUGGGAGACUGGUUUAAAUUCAGGGGGUCAGGGGAACGGUCUGUGAGUUAGAGUCUCACUAUAAGUCGGGUUAGAGGCCCGUUACCGGUGUGUGAGUUAGAGUCUCACUGUAAGUCGGGUUAGAGGCCCGCUACCGGUGUGUGAGUUAGAGUCUCACUCUAAGUCGGGUUAGAGGCCCGUUAAUCGUUCUAGGGUUGACUACCCUACGCCACUUCCCGACGGGGACGGUGGAGAGUUGCGAGUUAGAGUCUCGGCAACCAGUCGGGUUAGAGUCCCGAGGACUUAGGGGCACCUCGAAGUACUUAUUGUGUGUAAAGGUUCAUCUGGGUUAGAGUCCCGGGGAGUUUUAGAACUCCCCAAAUUCUGUAUCUGGGUUAGAGUCCCGGGGAGUUUUAGAACUCCCCAAAUUCUGUAUCUGGGUUAGAGUCCCGGGGAGUUUUAGAACUCCCCAAAUUCUGUAUCUGGGUUAGAGUCCCGGGGAGUUUUAUAACUCCCCAAAUUCUGUAUCUGGGUUAGAGUCCCGGGGAGUUUUAUAACUCCCCAAAUUCUGUAUCUGGGUUAGAGUCCCGGGGAGUUUUAUAACUCCCCAAAUUCUGUAUCUGGGUUAGAGUCCCGGGGAGUUUUAUAACUCCCCAAAUUCUGUAUCUGGGUUAGAGUCCCGGGGAGGUUUAGAACUCCCCAAAUUCUGUAUUGGGUUAGAGUCCCGGGGAGUUUUAGAACUCCCCAAAUUCUGUGUCUGGGUUAGAGUCCCGGGGAGUUUUAUAACUCCCCAAAUUCUGUAUUGGGUUAGAGUCCCGGGGAGUUUUAUAACUCCCCAAAUUCUGUAUCUGGGUUAGAGUCCCGGGGAGUUUUAUAACUCCCCAAAUUCUGUGUCUGGGUUAGAGUCCCGGGGAGUUUUAUAACUCCCCAAAUUCUGUAUCUGGGUUAGAGUCCCGGGGAGUUUUAUAACUCCCCAAAUUCUGUAUCUGGGUUAGAGUCCAGGGGAGUUUUAGAACUCCCCAGAUUCUGUAUCUGGGUUAGAGUCCCGGGGAGGUUUAGAACUCCCCAAAUUCUGUAUCUGGGUUGGAGUCCCGGGGAGUUUUAGAGCUCCCCAAAUUCUGUAUAAGAGAACUGGGUUCAAGUCCCAAAAAGUGUUGGGUCAGGUACCCGUUAAUCAUUUGUUAAUUAUUCUGAGUCUGGGACUCACAGUAACGUAAGUCAGGUUGAAAUGGACGGGGAGUGUGAGAGAAGUUGAUGACGAUGGGCGGUGUCCAGGCACGGGAAAGUGGAAACAAUUGGGGAUACAGGUGGCAAAUGUAAUGACUGUUGUAGGCAGGAUGGACCCAAUUCAGAAAGAAAAAGAAGGGAUAGAAGAGAAAUUGCGACAAGUGGUGAGUGAGGCAGGAUUAAGGAUGGAGGAAAGGAGACCAUUACAUGUUAUUUUGUGGAAUAAGGAGAAGGAGUGUUCUAAAAAUCGAGAUAGAGUUAGAGACAAGAAGGAAACAGCCAAUUUGGUCAAGAGAGGGAGAUAUAGAGAAAAGGAGAAGGAAUGAGAAAAGCACAGAAAAGAAUGGUGUAAAUUAGCAGUGUGGUGUCAGGGCGUAGACCAUUUGAACAAAGAGAAAAAGGGACAGAAAAUUAAGGAG